AGAGUCGUACAGGCAUUGGAGGCAUUUGCUGAUACAGUGGCACUGACCACAGAGAAGUACACCGCCGUGCGGCCAGGGGUGGCAUUGCAGGCAGCUGACAUCAGUCCAGAGGAGUUGGACAAGGGGCAAGGAUUUGCCUUCUUUCUGAGUGGAGACGAUUCUAACAGCUUGAAGGAAGGCAAUGUUAGGAGCUUCAGUACUGAGGACGUUACGGGCUUUGUGCGAACUGCCGAUAUCUCCAUUUCGAUACCUCCGAACAUCUCAAGUCUCAUACAGAUCAACAACACAUCAGAAGUCCGUCUGAGUUACACCCUCUACAACAGCAGCAGCCUGUUUGUGCAGACUUCCCAGGGUGCAGCGGGACCUUCCCAGGAUGCAGUGGGAACGCGCAUCAUCGGCGGGAGAAUCGCAGGGAGGCGGGUCAAGAACCUGC